AACUCAAGGGAAUUGACGGGGGCCCGCACAAGCAGCGGAGCAUGCGGAUUAAUUCGAUGCAACGCGAAGAACCUUACCAAGGCUUGACAUGCACCUGAAAAGGCUGGAAACAGUCUCCCCGCAAGGCAGGUGCACAGGUGGUGCAUGGUUGUCGUCAGCUCGUGUCGUGAGAUGUUGGGUUAAGUCCCGCAACGAGCGCAACCCUCGUUCUAUGUUGCCAGCGCGUUAUGGCGGGAACUCAUAGGAGACUGCCGGGGUCAACUCGGAGGAAGGUGGGGAUGACGUCAAAUCAUCAUGCCCCUUAUGUCUUGGGCUUCACGCAUGCUACAAUGGCCGGUACAAAGGGCUGCAAUACUGUAAGGUGGAGCGAAUCCCAAAAAGCCGGUCUCAGUUCGGAUUGAGGUCUGCAACUCGACCUCAUGAAGUCGGAGUCGCUAGUAAUCGCAGAUCAGCAACGCUGCGGUGAAUACGUUCCCGGGCCUUGUACACACCGCCCGUCAAGUCAUGAAAGUCGGUAACACCCGAAGCCGGUGGCCCAACCCGUAUGGGAGGGAGCCGUCGAAGGUGGGAUCGGUAAUUAGGACUAAGUCGUAACAAGGUAAC
rnacentral:rRNA from 1 species